GCGAAACCGUGUGAUCUACCCAUGGGCAGGCUGAAGCUGUAGUAACAUACAGUGGAGGGCCGAACCGGUUGACGUUGAAAAGUCUUCGGAUGACCUGUGGGUAGGGGUGAAAGGCCAAUCAAACUCGGAAAUAGCUCGUACUCCCCGAAAUGCAUUUAGGUGCAGCGUUGAUCCAUAGUUUUAUAGAGGUAGAGCUACUGAUUGGAUGCGGGGGCUUCACCGCCUACCAAUUCCUGACAAACUCCGAAUGCUAUGAAAUGUUAAUCAGCAGUGAGGGCAUGGGUGCUAAGGUCCAUGUCCGAGAGGGAAAGAACCCAGACCAUCAGCUAAGGUCCCAAAAUAUAUGUUAAGUUGAAAUAACGAGGUUGGACUGCCCAGACAGCUAGGAUGUUGGCUUGGAAGCAGCCAUUCAUUUAAAGAGUGCGUAACAGCUCACUAGUCGAGCGGUCCGGCAUGGAUAAUAAUCGGGCAUAAACAUAUUACCGAAGCUAUGGCAUCGAAAGAUGGGUAGGGGAGCAUUGUAGUGUCGUCGAAGGUGUGUCGUGAGGCAUGCUGGAGAAGCUACAAAAGAAAAUGUAGGCAUAAGUAACGAUAAUGCGGGCGAGAAACCCGCACUCCGAAAAACCAAGGUUUCCUCAGCUAUGCUAAUCAGCUGAGGGUCAGUCGGGGCCUAAGGCGAACCCGAAAGGGACAGUCGAUGGACAACGGGUUAAUAUUCCCGUACCCGCUCACAUUAAAAGCGACGGAGGCGCGGCGUUGGUGCGCACUGACAGAAUAGUGCGUUGAACUCUACGAAAGUAGAGGAUAGUACGAUGAGGCUACGGCCAAGUCGAUAAUCCAGCAUAGCGACUUCCUAGAAAAGCAAGUGAAGCGGCCCGUACCGUAAACCGACACAGGUGGUUGGGAUGAGAAUUCUAAGGAGCUCGAGAGAUUCAUGGCUAAGGAACUAGGCAAAAUCGACCCGUAACUUCGGGAGAAGGGUCGCCCCACUUCGGUGGGGCCGCAGUGAAAAGGUCCAGGCGACUGUUUAUCAAAAACACAGGGCUAUGCUAAAUCGAAAGAUGACGUAUAUGGCCUGACACCUGCCCGGUGCUGGAAGGUUAAGUGGAGGGCUUAGGGGCAACCCGAAGGUCUUAAAUGAAGCCCCAGUAAACGGCGGCCGUAACUAUAACGGUCCUAAG
rnacentral:rRNA from 1 species